AGAGUUUGAUCCUGGCUCAGGACGAACGCUGGCGGCGUGCCUAAUACAUGCAAGUCGAGCGGAUUAGAUUGAAAGCUUGCUUUCAAUCUGGUUAGCGGCGGACGGGUGAGUAACACGUAGGCAACCUGCCUGUAAGACUGGGAUAACAUUCGGAAACGAAUGCUAAUACCAGAUACACGAUUCUCUCGCAUGGGAGAAUC
rnacentral:rRNA from 1 species